rnacentral:snRNA from 1 species
GGGCUCCAGCAGCCCAUAUAUAAAAUUGGACGAUACAGAGAAGAUUAGCACGGCCCCUGUGCGAGGAUGACAUGCAAAUUCGUGAAACAUUCCAUAUUUUA